GACGAACGCUGGCGGCGUGCCUAACACAUGCAAGUCGAGCGGGGUUGAAGCGAGGGGUAACUCGGACUUCUACCUAGCGGCGGACGGGUGAGUAACGCGUGGGCAACCUGCCUCAAGGUUUGGGAUAACAGCUCGAAAGGGCUGCUAAUACCGGAUAUGCCUGUGGCCUCGCAUGGGGCUAUGAGCAAAGGGGAAACCCGCCUUGAGAUGGGCCCGCGUCCCAUCAGCUAGUUGGUGAGGUGAAGGCUCACCAAGGCGACGACGGGUAGCCGGCCUGAGAGGGUGACCGGCCACACUGGGACUGAGACACGGCCCAGACUCCUACGGGGGGCAGCAGUGGGGGAUCUUGCACAAUGGGCGAAAGCCUGAUGCAGCGACGCCGCGUGAGCGAAGAAGGCCUUCGGGUUGUAAAGCUCUGUCUGGAGGACGAAGGAAGUGACGGUACCUCCGGAGGAAGCCACGGCUAACUAACGUGCCACGCAGCCGCGGUAACUCACGAGAGUA
rnacentral:rRNA from 1 species